ACGUAGGGGGCAAGCGUUAUCCGGAAUUAUUGGGCGUAAAGAGUGCGUAGGUGGUUUUUUAAGCGUGAGGUGAAAGGCAAUAGCUUAACUAUUGUAAGCCUUGCGAACUGGAAGACUUGAGUGCAGGAGAGGAAAGUGGAAUUCCUAGUGUGGGGUUGAAUGCCUUGAAAAUAGGAGGAAAACCAAGUGGGGAGGCGGCCUUCUGGGACUGUAACGGACCUGGAGGGCGGAAGGGUGGGGAGCAAACAG
rnacentral:rRNA from 1 species